CCGACUGAAGUGCAAAAUAGAUUGACAGUCACGAAAACCAGUCGGAAUUUCAAGAUUGUUUACGAUUUAUUGAAUCUACGGUCGCGCUAAGUCUAAAAAAACCCCGCCGCGAGUGAAUUUUAAGUCAUAUCCGUCGUGCCGACUGAUUUUUCCGUGAUUUUAAUUUGCCUUUCAUGGAUUAGCCCCGUGUCCGAGUAGCAGAUCGUCAAAUCGGAGAAUUGGACUGGGUUCAACUGAAUGGAAAUCCUACUCUAUAGAAACAGAAAUUAAAAUAACAAUGAACAGCAAGAAACAGUCACCAACAAAGAAGAAAAGGGACAGAAAUACACUGGUGGCCAAAAGUAGAUUGACAACUACUUAUUUUUCAAAUUUGUUUAUAUCAUGGUUUAGAAAAUGAUAAAUUAGGUGGAACAAUACCCAAUUAAAAAACAACAAAGCCUAUUUGUAAUGUUUAAUUAUAUUUAAACUAUUUAUUGGUAAUACCCAAUUUUAUUAAAAAAAAAAUUAAAAAAACUAUACAAUUUUCAAGUGGCCAAAAUUAAAUUGACAAAUUCAGAGCUUACUAAAAUAAGAAUAAGUAUAGAAAAUUUAAAGGGUUUUAUUCAAUAAUGUGUUGCAUAUAGCCUCUAUUUCUUCUCACUUCCACCAAUCUUUUGGGCAUUGACCUAAUUAAACUGUCAAUAUAGGACGUGUCAAUGGAUAUCCAGCAUGCCUUCAAAGCUUCAAAAAGUUAUGUUUAUUUUUGAAAUUUUUACAUCGGAUGUGAGGAUCAAUUUAAUCCCAAAUGUUCUCGAUCGGAUUUAGUUCCGGUGACUGUGACGGCCAUUUGAUAACAUUAAUUUUUUCUUGGGUCAACCAUUGCUUAACGACCUUGGAUGCGUGUUUCGGAUCAUUUCAUGUUGAAUGUAGUGGUUGAGUGGCAUAACUUCAUCAGCGUAAGGUACCAUAACAUCCUGCAGUGUGUCUUUAUACAUGAAACGAUCCAUCGUGCCUUCUAUCAAGUGUAGUGGACCCAUCCCAUAGCCCGAAAAA